AAAUAUCCAAUUUUUGUAAAAUUUCAUAAAAAAAUAAUUUUGCAUCCAAAUACAGUUACAAAAUGCCAAAAUUCUUCUAACUAAUGAUAUUAAAGUGUUUUAUCUAAUUGUUAUUUUGAUGUUGAAUUAGACUGCGACGUCAAAAAAAAAAGGAACAAGAUCAACUGUUUGUCUCUGGAUCAUUUCAACAGCUGUAAUUGCUUUGGCAAGGAUUUGAAAGAAUUUAACCUAAGUUCCGAUUAUAUUUCCGAUUACAAACAACAUAUAUAAGGGUGAUCAAUAAAAUUUUACUCUUGAUCGUUGUUCAUGCUUGUUAUUGUUUACUUCACGUUUUCGCAGUGCCAACAUAAAUUUUUCCUAAUAAUACACAGAUAUGGAACGUGGUGCAGCUAUUGCACGUGAUAUGGAACGUGAUGCAGCAAAUCUCGUUUGAAUCUUGAUGUAUACUUUUAUAUCACGAUAUUUUCUUUUGAAUUAGUCUUUUCUGCUUUUUUAUCAAUGGUUUAUUUAUUUAUAUGUUUUAAAUUGUCAAUAAACUCUAGCGUUGGUUGAACUUUAUUUAUAAGUUUCAUAUUCUAUUUACCUUUUGACAAGGUGUUCAU